rnacentral:rRNA from 1 species
UACGUAGGGUGCAAGCGUUAAUCGGAAUUACUGGGCGUAAAGCGUGCGCAGGCGGUUCGCUAAGACAGAUGUGAAAUCCCCGGGCUUAACCUGGGAACUGCAUUUGUGACUGGCGGGCUAGAGUAUGGCAGAGGGGGGUAGGAAUUCCACGUGUAGCAGUGAAAUGCGUAGAUAUGCGGAGGAACACCGAUGGCGAAGGCAAUCCCCUGGACCUGUACUGACGCUCAUGCACGAAAGGCGUGGGGAGCAAACAGG